GAUCUCCUGACCUCGUGAUCCGCCCGCCUCGGCCUCCCAAAGUACUGGCGUGAGCCACCGCGCCGGGCCCCCACUUCUCAACUGAUGACUGCGACACUCCCUUGAGGGUAAAACUAACUUCUGGCCACCUCCACAACUGUAAACCUGGUGUCACUCUUGGUGACUCCACCUCAGCUAAGGCCCCCACUUCCUGAUCUGCCUCCAGCCCCCUUGGGCAGCACUCCCUGGUGGGGCAGUGUGGACGUUGGCUGGAAUCCGUCAGGUGGUGACCUACCUUCCCCUCCUCCACCAGACGGGAGCUCUUUCAGGCCAGUGGUUUGUUGUUCAUCAAGAUAUCCAAGUACCCGGCAACAUUCCUGGCAUAUAAUAGGAAGGCAGAUCUGGUGAAUGAAUGAAUGAAUGGCGGUAUCUGGAGCAGAGACAAUGAAUUUCAUGUUUAACAGAGGUGUCUUCAAGGAGAUGAAACAAUUCAGAAUGACCUAGGCAAUGGGGUAAUUCCUAAGGAACAAGCUAUUCAUUCAUACAGCAUGGACGAAUAUUAAAUGCAUGUUGCUGAGUGAAAGAAGCCAGAAUGAUAAGGCUACAUCCUGGAAAAGUUUAUAUUCUGGAAAAGGCAAAACUUAUAGAGACAGAAACAAAUCAGCCAGUUGUUGCUGGGGUUUGGGAGAGAAGAAUGUUGACUAUGUGAAGAACAAGGGAUCUUGGGGGGCAUCUAUUCCAUAUGCUACUGUAGGGGUGGAUGCAUGAUACUAUCAUUUGUGGAAAACCAUAGAACUUUACAAAACUAACAGUGAACCUUAAUGUCUGCAAAAUUUUACAAAAUCAACUAGGAGGCUGGGGGAUCCCAGGAUGAAAUACAGGCAAUGACAAAAGAGCCUAACUCUAUUACACAUUUAUAACAUAACCGCACCGAAGAGGACUGGUAUUCUAUAACUGUGGAAAUAAUGGAAACUGGAAAACUGAAGACAAAAGGAACUGUACUUAGCACUAUACUCUAGUUGGUAAAGGCGUUUCUCAAGGGGUACCAGUUAACAAUUCUGAGACUGCUGUACAUGUAUGCAGAGACUGAACAAAUAAGUAAAUGGCUGGUACAUGCUCACUCUCAGGGAGGGAGGCCACAGAUAAACAAGAGGAAGAGGCUCUAAUGUCAUGUGUGGUUGUGGAUUAGAACCAGAAACAUAAAUAUGAACUCAUGUUUAGAUUAAUAUAGAUAUUAAUGGAUUGAUAUAGAAAUAAUGAUGAUAUGGGUAUAUAUACAGGUUAGUAUACAGUCAUAUAUUUCUUAUCCCUAUCCACUGAGAGGGCCUAGAAACAACAAUACUCCAGUAGCAACACACACAUCUCGUGCCCAUAUCUUGAUUUCUUUUGCCAUUUCCUAACAAAAGGAGCCAGGACUUCUUGGAGAAAUGGCUGAUUCUAAGACUGGGUCAGAGAGUAUACCAGAUGACGCUGGCACAUCUUCUACUGCUAGAAAGUAAGGAAAUGCUCAAAAAAUAAAACCACGGAGAUAUUUCAAAGGAACACAGAAGCCAAGUGGAACAGCUCCCAGUGGCCAAAGCUGGAAAAAUUGGGGCAAAAAAAAAAAAAAAAGUAUUAGGUUAUAAUCCAAAAUAUAAAAUAAAUAAUCACCAGCCCGUACUAAUGUGCAUAAAUUAUUGAAUAAAUAAGUAAAUGGGUGAAAAGAGAAAACUCUCUCCCAUACAAAGGAAGCCCAAAUAAUUUAUGUAGAUGAUCGCCCUGCAAUGAGGCAGAGGGCAACUCCCUACCCUGUGUUAAGUGUGGAUGGCACUUAGAGACUUGCUUCUGAAGAGCGCAAUACGGAAAGGAGGGGAGAAGUAACUUGGCAAUGAAGAAACCUGACAAACACCAUCUUCUCCAGGCAGCCAAGGUUAACACCAUCAGUGAUAAGUUACGUUGAUAGCCUGUAUUUUUGAUAUGAUGUGUUGAGAAUGUACUUAGUUUCUGUGGUCUUCUUCCCAAACACCUGACACCAGGCUCACCAGGAGAAAAUGAAUCCAAAUUAAGGGACAUUCUACAGAAUACCUGACCAACACUCCCUCCUAAAAACUGUCAAGGUCAUCAAGGAAUGUCUAGGAAGAAGGAAAGUCUGAGAAGUUGUCUCAGCCCAGAGGAGCCUUAAGAAGCCAUGACAGGUAGGGCGCGGUGGCUCACGCCUGUAAUCCCAGCACUUUGGGAGGUCGAGGUGGGCGGAUCAC
rnacentral:lncRNA from 1 species